rnacentral:rRNA from 1 species
AUGGCCGGAAUUGUCCACAAGGAGUUUGCUGAGUUGGCCCAGAUAGGGCUGAACUACCUGUCAUGGUCCUCGGACUGCGAGAUUUUUCUCCAGGGCAAAACCCUCCACUUGAGGGCGAUCGGUAAGGGGGCCCAGCUGGCCGCCACUGAUCCCAAGUUCGAAACUGAGAAUGUGCAGGCUUUGCACUUUCUCCGUCAUCACCUGUCACCUACUCUAAAAGAUGAGUAUAUGGCUGAGCGCAGUGCUUCUAGCUGGACCGCUCUUAAGCAGCGGUUUGAGCGGCUGAAGUACACUGUGAAGCCACGUGCAGAGGCAGAGUGGAUCCGUCUGAGGUUUACGGACUUCAAGACGAAGAUUGAGAAAACCAUAUCCACUUUCCACCCCGACGCGGUCCAGUCCUCAUAGAACUACCGCCAUGGGAACUACAUGAGGUAUUCAGAGUUGAUUGACGUCCUCCAGGUGGCGGAGGUGCAGGAUGAGGUUCUCAAAAAGAACUUUGUCGCGCAACCACUUGGGCGGAGUUCUCGCUAGGAGGUGAACGCUCUCAAAGUCCGCAAGCCUCAACAGAAGAAGAGGGGCCACAAGGCGGCUAAGCAGAACAAGCCGGGCAAGGGAGGGUAGAGGCCUCAGGACUGCUUCCGUUGUGGCUCGGUGGAGCAUUUCUCCCGCCAGUGCCGUGCACCACCGGAGGUCGUUGAAGCAUACAAGGCUCGGAAGGCGCGUGAGACGCACCUCGCCUUGGUCCAGGAGGCAACACCACCGGCGCCCAUGGCGGCAAAAAUAUGA